rnacentral:rRNA from 1 species
GAUGAACGCUGGCGGCGUGCCUAAUACAUGCAAGUCGAGCGAACAGACCUGGAGCUUUUUCCUCGGUCGUUAGCUUCGGACAGCUGGCUACCACUUGGUGAGCCACCCUUUAAGACUCUGCUCACUACUGUAAGCUGCCGCUUAUACCGAGUUAUUUAUUCCACAUCAUAGUUCAGUUGUCAUAGACAGCUUUUCUGUCACUGCUUAAUCUGUCCCCGUCGCAUGACCUCGCGGCGCAUUAGCUAGUUGGUAAGGUAAAGGCUUACCAAGGCACCGAUGCGUAGCCGAGCUGAGAGAGUGAUCGGCCACAUUGGAACUGAGACACGGUCCAAACUCCUACGGGAGGCAGCAGUAGGGAAUCUUCCGCAAUGGGCGAAAGCCUGACGGAGCAACGCCGCGUGAGUGAUGAAGGUCUUCGGAUCGUAAAACUCUGUUAUUAGGGAAGAACAAAUGAGUAAGUAACUAGGCACGACUUGACGGUAAUUAAGCAGAAAGACACGGCUAACUACGUG